UGUUGCGCUAUUUAUAUUGGUGGUUUUUGUAUUAAUUUUUUUACAGCAUUGAUUGAAGUAGCUGGCGAAAUCAUCGUAAAUAAACCCCUGGGUUGUGUUAAGAGAUGCGUUAUCUAUCGAGUAGAUAUAAUGUGGAUUCUUCUUCCCAGUAUGCAUUACUUUGCAUUUAGACUUAAUGAAUUCAAGUAACCACUUCUUACUCCAUUGAACCAGUUUACAUAGAUCUUGCUGAAGAGUAUCUCUAUCACUAAGCGAGUCAAUCUUUCUGAAAAUCUUGGCAUCAUCUGCAAAUAAUUUUCCAUCGGAUUCAAUUCCUUCGAAUAAAUCAUUAAUGUAGACCAGAAAUAAAACUGAUGCAGUCACUGUGCCUUGUGGGACGCCACUGGAUACAGGCAACCAUCUUGAAGCAGAACCUUUAAUAGAUACACACUGCCUUCUAUUCUUUAAGAAUUCACUUAUCCAGUUCAAAAUGUUACCUUUGAUGCCAUAAGACUUCAGUUUAGAUUUCAACCUACCAUGUGGAACCGUGUCAAACGCCUUUCGGCAGUCUAAAUAUAUCACGUCCAUAGGAUGCUUAUCGGCAAGAGAAUUUUCAACUUCACGAAAAAAUUUUAGUAGUUGAGUAAGACAAAAAACGUUUUCUUCAAAAAUUGAAGCAAAAACAACCACUCUACAUUGUAUUGUAACACUUUCAUUUUCAUAAACAUCUCAAUUAUUGUUUUUAAAGGAUUUAAACUAACAAUAUUUCAUAAAAUACAGUUAAGAGUGAAUUUUAAGGUGUUUUUUUUAAAGUAAUACCAGUACCAGGAUGUAUAAGAAGAGAAGUACUGUGAACUACUGCAAUUGGCAUGGAAGGCAACAUAUCUAUAAGUGUACAAUGGAUAUUCUAUACAAAAGAUAGACAAUAUUUAAAAAAUAUAAUAUGUAUAUACCUAUACCUAAUGAAGGGUGAUACCCCAAAACGUUUGUAUGUUUAUAAAAAUUAUUUUAAUAAUAUUAAUAAUAAUAAUAAAGUAAGAACUUAUACAGCGCCAUUUAAAAAACCGAAGUAAUUAUCAGUGGCGCUUCAUGUUAUUGUUGGAAUAAGUGCAUUUUGAGAACAUUAGACACUUCUCUUGAGUUUUUAUUUAUAAUAGUAUAAUACUUAUUAAAAUACUUAAUACAAAAGUUGCAGUGAAUUAAAAACUGAUGGAGACAAGGGUGCCAAACUGCAGAAAUUGGCAUGACAUUGAUACAUCAUCAUUCUUGAUAGGAGAUGGUGGUGCUUUCUUUCCUUCGUCUAGCUGGAAAAUUAAUAAACAAAUUGUUAAGAUUUUAUAUUCAAAUAAUAUUAUACAAUAUUAAACGAAGACAUACAGCUGGACUUGUUAUGAAUAUGAUUAUCACUGUAUAUUUUUAUAGCCUUCAACACAGCACUACAUAGUAGUUAGUAGUACAGUAGUAGCAGCUCAGUAGGCCAAGUACAGUAGUGUGGUAUUUCGCAUCAAUCAUCAUCCUCAAACUAGCUUGCAGCUAGCGUAGGCCUGUGUACAGCAGGUCUGUACAUCUUGGAUACUAUACUUAGCCUGAUGAAACACUAUUUGAGUCAUAGGCUAGUGUGUAUAACUAGAGAUGUAGAAAUUAGAAUAGGCCUAAGGCCUAGGCCUCUAGGCCUACUCCAUUAAUUCGGAGGGUUGCCAAAGUGCGAGCCAGCGAGGCAUGCAAUUCGUGUGAGCCAUGACGGUAAUUCGUGCGGGACGUGUACCAACAGUACGAGUCAUGCGAGGCACACAAAAACCCACGCUUCUUCCUAACAAUUGUACAAUUUAUAAAACAGUAAUAAUAAUGAAUGAAUUAACUAAUUUUAGCAUAAUUAUUUUGAAGUUGAAAAGACAAUUUCAAGCUGUCAUUGUUUUCAUAUGGGACCUUCCUCCUUUCAACUUGGCUAGGCUUAGCUAGGCUAGGCAUAAUAGUACAGUCGACCUUCCCAUUUACGUACACCUUGGGCUGAAAGCAGUUCGUAAUUGAGAAAAUUCGUAAUUGAGAAGUUUGGAAGAAUAGCGCCCUCAACUUUAAAAAUAGGGCUACAAAAAGUUGUAGCCUAUAACUAGGCCUUCAUGCCUACCAAUAUCUAGGCAUAAUUUUGCAUUUAAGUGUUCAAUAAACAUUUAUAGAAAUCGUUGAAGAAUCAAUUAAAUGUUAAUGCAAGGCAAACUAAUAUAAUAAAUGUCGAUUCAUAAUAGGCUAAGGAAAUCGUUCCAUGGAUAGACCGACCUAAUCUUCCAUGUCACUAUAGGCUGACUGUUGAACAUAAAGUGUGGUGGUUUAGCCAAGGUUUAGCUGGGGCUAGCAGCAGCUCUCUGCUAACUAUAGCUAGGCCUCUGUUCGUAAUUUAUAGCAAAUUAGUCAACAAACAUUGAUAUAAUUUGUAUUAAAAGUACUGGGCUUAAAUAUUUAUUUAAGUCAAGGUAUUUUUGUAUAAAUUAAAAAAAGAAACCUUCCUAUUUUUUCGACCUUCCUGACUUCCAAACAUGUGGUUUUGGUACCUGUAGCUUUGAAUGAUGGGUAAUUGCUGAUGUCAUCUUCUAAAAAUAGAGCAGCUUGCUAAUCGUUUUUGUUUUUUUUUUGACAGUGAAAAACAAAUAAUUAUUAAUACAUAUGCUUAUUGAAUAUCCGAACAGUGAUUUAUUCUUAAAAGAAUAAAAGGUUGAUGUUACCAUACAUUUAUACUCGGACUAGCUGAUUUGAUUUACAGUGCAUGACCGCAGUUAACCAUAGACAGAGUAGGGUAGGCCCCCUCGUAUAGGCUGCCCAGCCUUGCCCUUAGCCCAGACAAGGUAGGCCUAGCAGCAUGCAUGGCUGCCUGAAUUUCACCUAGUUUUGAUUAUUUUUUUGUUUUGUUUAUAUUUUACUUUUCUAAGCCUAAAGUAGUAUUAUGUAUUUAUGGAAUGACUGUAUAAUUAGUACUAUAAUGCAAUUUUUAAUGACCUUUGUUAUUCUUUUUUCUUAAAAUAAAUAAAAAUAGCAUAAAUAAGAUGAAUAAAUUUAGCGAUGACGUCAUCGGCCGAAUGUUCGUAAAAUAGAAGGUUCAUAAAUGAGAAGCUUGUAAAUGGGAAGGUCGACUGUAGGCCUAAAGUAAGGCAAAUAAGCCUAGGCCCAGUACAUUUUUUAGAGACGAGGUUACCUGCUUCCACUCACAGUGCCCUAGCAAUCAAACAGCGUUCUGAGUGCUAGGUGACAGAUUGUCCCAUUUUCAAAAUUUACCGUAAUUGUUCUGUAAGCAUCGUGAAAUGUCUCUUUUAGUUUAAAAUAAAUAUAAAAUAGCAUCUAUCUAGACAAGUGCCUGCUUAAGGACAAAACCCUUAUAGGCCUAUAAUAAAUGAAUAUUAUUAUUACAUAUAGGCCUAAUUUAUUUUUUAACUGCCCAUUCGCAUUAUGCAUGGAAGGAGGGAGGACCUUAUUUAUUUUUCAGAAAAUAAACAUAACAAGCAAAAAAAACAUGAAACCAAACAGAGUUGAAAAAGAAAACGUCAUAAUUUAUAAUGCAAAAACGAUCAUAAUAGGCCUAAUAAUAAUUUAUGGGCUAAUCUUGUGAUCCAUAAUGUUAUAAAAAGACAAUUACACGCCCGUGCUUUGAACAAACGUCCCUCGAAUAAACAACCCCUCGAAAAGGCCAUUUGGAAUAAACGCCCCUGGGCGUUUAAUUUCCCUUCAAAUAAACGCGCCCCCCACCCCAUAAGUAACUAUGGACGGAUGAAAUGGAAGCAUCAUCAUUUUUUAUAAGCCAUGUAAAAACACCUAGCUAGGCCUAGGCAUUAGGCCUACGAAAUUUUUUCAAAGAAAUUUGCUAAAAAUAUUACUGUAAUUUGCCUACAGUAUCAAAUUACAUUACCAAUGUGAUCUAAAAUUUUGGGCCAUAAAGACUCCCUCUGAAUUUUUCAACCACCACAAAAUUUCAACCACCAUACAUAAAGAUGUAUCUGCUUAGCCUAGAAACAUUAUGCGAGUAACCAUAGCAGUGCGCAAUCUAUGUCUACAGUAGUUGUCCUAGUUGUCUGAUGAAGUCCUAAUCAAUAUGCCCAGUGAUUGGCCUACAAGUCAAGCAGUUUCAUUAUCAUUGAUUCUGUGAGGAAGAAAACUGAAAAAUUAUGUGAUACAGUAAUACUAAAUUUUGAAAUGCCAAAAUUAAAGUUCAAAGCUUAUUCUAUCGGUCAUGUAGUAGUGAAUACAAUAUGAAAAUUUGCUUUUCCAGUACAAUGAAUAAAAGUAUAAUAUACUAAAAUAUAAAUAUGCAUACAGUAGGACAGAUUGAAAACACAAUGAAAAUAUGAAAAAGAAAAUAGAGCCAAAAAAUGACUAUGAAACAAAUCUUUCAUUUAACAUCUUAAUUUUGCACAAUGGAAUAAAUGAGUUUAUGUGUCUAUUUUUGUUUGUUACUGAGGUAACUGUUACAGUUCUGAAGGAUCUGCUUAAACUAUGUGAAGUGGGUGGUUAUUAACACUGAUUUUAUUUCAUAGUUAUGUUCGAUGCAAACUGAGAUCCUGACAAUGCGCAUGCGUAGUUCCCGGCAUAUACAACGACCACGUUUGAGCGGUAACCACUCAGAGUUACCCUUGACAGAUAAAAAUAAGUUUGCUUCUAAGUCAAGGUGAAGCCUGGAUAGGCCUAUACAAUAAUAGUAACUACUAUUGUAUAUUUGUUUUUCGAGAAUUCCGAGAAUGAGUGAAACUCAAGGGGCAACCCCUACUAAGGACGGAAUUUCGAUCUCGAAAACAGCCUACUUCUACAGACCCAGGCCAGACGAGCCAGCAGGCGCGAACGGUGGAGCCUGAGGUUGACAAGUUCUCCGCAAAAGGUUGGAAACCCACCGCGAAACAGCCCUCAAACCGUAGGCCUAACGCUGACACUGACAACAGAAUCAAGGCUUUAGAAAAAGCCAGUCAGCAAACAGCUUGCUUAUGCAGCUAAUUGAGAAUGUAAUUUCUACGAAUCCUGCUAGACCUAGCACUAGCAAUGUCAAUGCUGUUGAUAAUGACGACACACUGUCAUCAUAGCUUGGGCCUAGGCCUAGGCAGCGAGUCUGCUAUUGACGAUAAUGUUAAUAUUUAUGCGACUGAUCAUGAGGAGGAACAGAAUGCCUCUGCCAUAAUUAUUGGUGAUGUGAAACCACCAGGAUUUGCAGCACACUUUGCUGCCACUGAUAAAGCUGGGCCACAUAUCAGUGAUAGUAUGGCAGCUAGUGUUACUUGUUGCAUUCACCGAUUAAUGAGACAGUCAUGACAGAACUGUGCAAAACAUAUUGUUGCCCAGAAAAUACUAAAGCAUUGAUUGUCUCAAAAGUAAACCCAACAAUCUGGGAUAGUAUAUCACCUAAAGCUAGGUCUAUGGACUUGAAGAUUCAAAGGGUCCAAAAACCUUUAAUCAAAGGAAUUUUAGCGAUGAUCAGAGCUCUGGGCCAUCGAACCGAAGACCCUGUAACAUAAGAGACUAUGGCAUUGUUAGCAAAUGCUAAUUAUGAAAUUCUUGCUUUAAACAGACGAUAUGCAUGUUUGUGUAAAGCAAGGUUGUGUACGCAUAAACCAAAUGAAUAUCUAUUUGGUGACCUUGGUAAGACUGUGAAAUUACUGGAUGAUGAGUGAAAGGCUACAUCAGGCUUGUUUGCAGCUAAUAGCUCCCAGCAGUAUAAAUGCUUGACAAGAUACAGUCCAUACCCAAAACCAGCUUUUCAAAACAGAGUGGAAACAUUUUUUAGCCCCAAGAGGUUGACGACCAGCUGCAUCGUUGACCGCAGUACACCAGCAGAAAGCAUACCAUCAAAUGAAACAGGAUCAAAAUCAGAACAAGCACCAGAAAAGAUUAUCAGGGAAGCAAUAGGAGACAUCCCACAGGCCACUAAGGACAUCAUAAUGAGAUCGUGGAGAAAAUCUUCAAGAGACCAGUAUGCUGUUUAUAUCAGAAAGUGGAUGUUAUUUACAGACAACAAACCCUUUCAGUCAGACAUAAAAAUGAUCUUGAAUUUUAUGAAACCUCACAAAGCUUUUCUACAGUUAAUUCAGCAAGAUGUGCAUUAUCUUUCUUGAUUCUUAACAAUGGACAAACAGUAGGACCACACCCACUUGUAAGUUGCUUCGUGAGGGGUGUUUUCAACUUGAAACCACCACGGAGUAGGUAUAGUAAAAUUUGGAACGUCCACUGGGUAGUCUUUGACUAUCUGAGGACUUGGCAUCCCAUAGAGAGAUUGAGCUUAAAACAAUUAACAUUAAAGCUCUGCAUUCUAAUAGCAAUAAUAUCUACACGGAGAUGCCAAACUCUUCAUCUUUUGCGUAUCAGUAAUAUGGAUUUAAAAGAGGACCAAGUCAUUUUUUAUGUUAAUGACUUAUUAAAGCAGAGCAGGCCAGGAAAUACUGGUAUAAUGUUGACACUUAUUAGGCAAAUAACCCUGAGGAGAGAUUAUGUGUAAUUACACUGCUUAAAGAGUACUUGAAACGUACUGAGAGCUUGAGGGGUGAUAUCACCCAACUUUUUGUUAGCUAUCGCAAGCCAUUCCAACCUGUAUCAAGAGAAACAAUUUCACGGUGGAUAAAAUAUGUUCUUAAGCUUGCAGGUAUUGACUCCAUGAUAUUUAAGGCACAUUCGACGAGAGCAGCUGCCAUGUCGGCAGCAAAAGAAUCUGGAGUACCAAUUCAUGACAUAAUUAAAACUGCAGGAUGGACCAAUGAGAAAACUUUUAGAAACUUAUGAUAAACCUAUUCACUAAAAAAAAAAGAAAAAAAAACCAAAAAAAAAAAACCUGUUGGAUGUUCUUACUACUGUGUUUUAAUGACAGUAGUACCAUUUCUAUUGUACUAUACACUAUGGUGUACACAAUACUGUAUUGUUAUGUUUUAUCGAGUACCCUAGUUGUUUAAUGGGACAUACUAGCACUUGAAAUAAAACACAGGAUACAACUUAAAGUGUUGGUUAUGGUUUAUUGUAUCUAGAGCAAACAUGGCACCAGAGAUGGCUUUAAAUGUCUUAGUUUGCACCGAACGUAACUAUGAAAUGAAAUAGAAAGAUUAAACUAGAACUUACUUGUUCGAAGUUUGAUCACUAUUUUAUGAAUAAUAGUGAGUGAGGUGUAAACUGCCCUCCUCACCCGCCCUUUAUAUUAAGUGUAGCUUGCCAUAGUUGGGCUGAAAUGAUGCAUGUACAUUACAGUACUAAUCGGUGCAUUCAAAUAUGCUGGAAAAUACGCAUGCGCAUCGUCGGGAUCCCAGUUUACUCCUCACCCACUAUUAUUCAUAAAAUAGUGAUCAAACUUCGAACAGGUAAGUUCUCGUUUAAUCUUUCUAUUACAUUAUACAUUUUAUUUAACAUAGCAGCUUCAAUAAUUUAAUGGUUUUAGUUAUGUUGAAAGGCUUUCAUAUGAAUUAACAGUAUGAAAGAAGUAGUAUAAAAUGAAUAUCUGUGACAACACAGUCUGAAAGUUAAUUAAUUUUUUAGCAUACUAUUCCUAACAGUAACAACAAUCGUUUCUCAUUUAUUUUCAUACCUUAAUUUCAUUCUAAUCUAAAACUACUAUUCCAGUGAUUGAAAUUACUAAUGGGGUGUGCUAAAUCAUGGGUAAAAUAUAUUUAGUCAGAUGUUUACCACUUUCCCUCAUCUUAUCUUAUUGUUAAUUUAAAAAUGACAGGCAUAAUCAUUCCUCAACACCCUUGCCUCUUUCUUUCCUGUCUCGGGCUACGAUCAAUUAAAAUUCUGUAAUACAGUUUUUACUAAGAAACCUACCCAACUUAAAUAAACUUCCUAAUACUUUAUUGAAAUAUUAAUAAAAAGCAGAAAUAGUCCAUCGACCCUACAAAUUGUGGUCAUCUCAUAUUAAUUGUUACUGUUAACAUUUUAUGUAAACUUUCAAUGUUUGGGUUUUUAAAAAAAAGAUUACUAUAUUUUUAGUUCCUUUGUGACCUUAGGUCGCAGAGGAACUAUUGGGA